GGCUUCGUGGCUCACCUGGUAGAGCGCUUGCCACGUUGAGGCGUAGUGUUUCCGUCGUUGGUCCGAAUCCAGCCGAAGCUU